rnacentral:rRNA from 1 species
AGACAAUAGAUACCCAGGUAGUCCACGCCGUAAACGAUGGAUGCUAGCUGUUAUCAGUAUCGACCCUGGUAGUAGCGAAGCUAACGCGUUAAGCAUCCCGCCUGGGGAGUACGGUCGCAAGAUUAAAACUCAAAGGAAUUGACGGGGACCCGCACAAGCGGUGGAGCGUGUUGUUUAAUUCGACGCUAAGCGAAGAACCUUACCAAGGUUUGACAUCUCGGGAAAGUCUCCGAAAGGAGACCGUGCCUUCGGGAACCCGAUGACAGGUGUUGCAUGGCCGUCGUCAGCUCGUGUCGUGAGAUGUUUGGUUAAGUCCAUCAACGAGCGCAACCCUUGUAGUCUGUUGUAUUUCUCAGGCUAGACUGCCCCGGUAACGGGGAGGAAGGAGGGAUGAUGUCAGGUCAGUAUUACCCUUACACCUUGGGCCACAAACACGCUACAAUGGCCGAUACAAAGGGCUGCCAAGCAGCAAUGCGGAGCAAAUCCCAUCAAAGUCGGUCUCAGUUCGGAUUGUUGGCUGAAACUCGCCAGC